rnacentral:rRNA from 1 species
GAUGAACGCUGGCGGCGUGCCUAAUACAUGCAAGUCGAGCGAACAGAUAAGGAGCUUGCUCCUUUGACGUUAGCGGCGGACGGGUGAUUAACACGUGGGUAACCUACCUAUAAGACUGGAAUAACUCCGGGAAACCGGGGCUAAUGCCGGAUAACAUUUAGAACCGCAUGGUUCUAAAGUGAAAGAUGGUUUUGCUAUCACUUAUAGAUGGACCCGCGCCAUAUUAGCUAGUUGGUAAGGUAACGGCUUACCAAGGCAACGAUACGUAGCCGACCUGAGAGGGUGAUCGGCCACACUGGAACUGAGACGCGGUCCAGACUCCUACGGGAGGCAGCAGUAGGGAAUCUUCCUCAAUGGUCAAAAGCCUCACGAACCAACGCCCCGUGAGUGAUGAAGGUCUUCGGAUCGUAAAACUCUGUUAUUCGGGAAGAACAAAUGUGUAAGUAACUGUUCACGUCUUAACGGUACCUAAUCAGAAAGCCACGGCUAACUACGUG